GUCUAGAGACUUUACCCCUGGACCUGAGUACUUUCUACUUUCACACCUUCAUGGCUGCUGAUUAGGGAUAUCAGCCAGAGCUGACCACUGGGGUCCCUUUCACCACAUGGAACAUUAACAGAGCAAUAAAUCUCUGCCCCUGUUUCUUCAACACACAGAGAUAAGGCAUCAAUAUUACACAUGAGUCCCUGGUCUUGGUAUUUGUGUCUGUUUAGCAGUAAGACCGGAAUUUACAAAGAAUCAAAGUACUGAGAUGUUGAGAAUAAAAGGAAGAUGAAGAACUUCCGCCAGGCAAGAGGCAAAACUGGAGAAGGCUCAAACAGCAAAACGGAACAUGUCAGUUCAACAACAGAUGAGCCAUGCAACAUGGACCAUGUUGGAGAAGAAAUCAUUUAAACUUCUGUUUUUCUAUGUGAAGACAUCAGAUUUUUUGUUGUGAAUGUUUAGGGCUUAAUCAGUUGAAUAAUUUAUGUAAGACACAUCGAAAAAUCUUGUCUGAUUUCAUGUAACAAUAGUUGAUUUACGGUGUCUGCCAAUAACGUUUUUGGUAUUAUAUGUGUAUUUCUCAUAACGUUUGUAAACAUUAAAUAGUUUUACAUACAUGUAAUGUUUUGAAAUUAAUUGUAACAGUACAUGUUGCUAUUUCUCAAAUAAAACAUGUGUUUUGAAUAUACAUGUAGAUAUGUUAUUUUAUAAUGUCUCAGCGGACUGAUAUCAUGUGUAAAUGGAAUAUAUAUUUAAUGUAAAAUUAAUGUCCAUUUUGAUAGCAAACAGAAUAA